rnacentral:lncRNA from 1 species
GUUGAAAAGGUAGUUCAGUAGGUAAAAUGGAUGAAUAGUUAGGAAAAGCAGUUUUCAUUAGAGAUGUAGCAGUUGGUAUCUCGUGGUAGCAUAAAGAGGAUGGGAGAGAGGAAGUAAGGGCGAGAUUGUGAUAGUAUGAGCUGGAAUAAGCUUGGUGUUGUCUCUUAUUUUUUUUGUUUUGUUGUUUAAAGUUCUGAAUACUGUGAAAAGAAUUCGUGGAAUAAAUCAGGGAAAUGAUUUAUGAGAUAUUGGGUGUGUAACUGAAGUAUUGUGUGAUUGAAGGAGAGAAAUUUGGAAGUUGUUAUCAGAUUCUGUGAAGAUUGGUUAUAACUGGAAGAUUAUGAUCAUGGUUAAUUGAAAAUUGUGUGUAUUUGGACCGAGGAAAUCUGGAAAAACAGAAAUUGUGUAAAGCCAAAUUAAUUGAGUAAGAUUGGUUAUUCCUGAUGUUGGAUGGAAUUUAUGUGUUUUGUGUGGACUUUUGAGAUAGUACAGAUUGCAUUUAGUGGUUAUCGGUUAAUGAAAGGGUUUCAUUAGCAGAAAAAAGUCUUAUAGUAUUUCUUCAUUGUUUUAAGUAGUG